GGUAGUCAAAAUCGCGUGUAAACUCGUGAAAACGCACGAUUAUACGCUUCUACUUCAUCUUUCCGUUGCGCUUCUGCUUCUCGUUCAGAACCACGCUGCUUCGUGUGAAAUCGCCGUUGAAAAUCGCAGAGUUGCCGGAAUCGUAGCUUCUGCUGCGUGGUUGCGUUUCAGGUUGAAGAAGUUCUUUUCCUUGGCCCUGAGCCCCCUGAUUGCAGCCCACCCCAACCCAAUGGCCCAAUCUAAAUAGAAGACCAUAGAAGAAGAGCCCUAGCAGAGUAACAGUCUCUAAUCUCUUAAUCUCCUUUACUUUUACAGUUUAUCUCCAAUUCUCCAUGGCCAAAAUUUCAAAUUUUCACCUUUCUCAAGUCUCAAUCUCUGACUCUAUCUCUUUUUCUCUCUGAAAUUUGAAUUUCGCGCGACCGGAAACCUCAAUUUGGAGCAUCGCCGACUCGCCGUGACUCCGUGAGGUUUGCCGCUGGUGUUAUCAACUCGAACUGGUGGUGGUUGGACUGCGUGAGGCCGUGAGCGUCACUUUGCGAUUGCAACACAUUGAGGCUCUCUGGCUCAGUGGCUCUGCCUCUCUGUCUCUGGCUUUGGAAUCUAGAUUGGAAUCUGGAUCGCUGGUCACUGCUCUUCCCCUCCCCUUUGCUGCUAGUUCAUCAGGAAUGGCAUCGACUCAAGCUAAUGCAAGUGAAAAUCCGACUAAUAUUCCAGCUUCUCAGUCAGGAAGUACAGCUGGAAUCGCUAGUAAAAGAAAAGUUUCUAAUAAUGCUCUUGGAAGUAGAACUGAUGUAGGAUGGGAGCACGGGAUAUCUGUUGGAGAAGAUGGAAAGAAGAUACAAUGUAAAUACUGCCAUAAAAUUUUUUCAGGAGGAGUUUAUAUACUAAAACUCCAGCUCAAUGGUGGGAUUCUUAUGGAGAUCAGCAUCCAGAGCUCCAACAAUUUGCAAUUCGUGUCUUGAAUUUGACAUGUAAUUCAUCUGGAUGUGAACGUAAUUGGAGCGCUUUUGAGAUGGUUCACACAAAAAGGAGAAACCGUUUAAAAGCUAAAACCAUGAAUGAUGUUGUGUUUGUGAUGACAAACUCAAGAUUAGCAAAGAAAAAACAAACUAGAAGGAGUCUUGAUUAUGACUAUAGUCUUGAUGAGUUGACUCUGAUGAAGAGUGGAUUGUUGCUGACGAAGAUGGAGAAGAAGAAGAAGAUUUAGAUGCUCUAAUUCCAGAUCCUGAUUUAAAUGAUGAAGCAAGUGGUAGUAGAGUUGUUGGUGCAUCUAAGGAUCCUUUGACAGUUCCUUAUCUUGAUGAUGAUGAGUUUAAAGAACUUCUCCAAAGACCUCUUCCUCCUGCUCCUGAUAAUGAUGAAGAUGGUAAUGCAGAAGUUUGUGAAACUCGUGAAGAUUUUAUGACUGAUGAAGAAUAGAAU